rnacentral:antisense_RNA from 1 species
CUAAACAAGGCUGAUAUAAUUAAAUUGCUACUUCUUAAGAUUUUCCUCUCUCCUUUAAAAAUGAAAGACUUGUAAAUAUAGACUGCCUAAAUGCUUCAUCAGUAAGAACUGGAGUCAUCUUACCCAACUUCUUCAAGUAACAAUUAUGUGGAAAAAGUGUGCUAAUAAGAAGACAUCCUGCUGUUGUAAACUAGAAGGAAAGACGUUCCAGUGUUAAUCUCCAAGUGUAGCACCGUUAAGCGGCAGGUAUGAGAAAUGUUCUCCUGUUUUUUGGAAACAUUUGGUCUGUUCUCAUUUGCUUGUGCUAUGAUAGUCCUCUGAUAAAGCAAGGUCAGGAAGAAAGGCAGAUCUAUUAACACUUCGCUCAACCAAGGCAGACCUUAGUACAAUGGACAGCCUUAUAGAAGUCUUCUAAGUCAUUAAUGAAAAUGUCAACUGACAUUCCCAAGGAGCCCACUACAAAGGCUGACUGGUUUAUUAUAACCUUGGCCCUACUGAAGGCCUGGCGCAGACAGCAAGUCUCCUUCUGAAACUAUGUAAGAGUAUAACACAACAGAAAAAAAGGACUAAACGCUACCUACGCUCAAUGUUCCACACCUCUUAAGCCAGUAAUCCUGUAUCGGGUGUCGGGCAGCAAAGAAAAUAAAAUAUACCUCGUCUGUGCUCCAUUUGGAAACUUUACUGGCAGGGAUUCCUGCGACAGUUGGAAGAAGUUUGCUUUGCUGCUCCCAGCGCAAGGGCAGACAUGGAAUUGGGGACUUAA